AGUGGGAUAGCUGGGUCAAAUCGUGGUUCCAUUCCCAGCUUUCCAAGGAAUCUCCAUACUGCUUUUCAUAUUGGUUGCACCAAUUUGCAAUCCCACCAGCAAU
rnacentral:pre_miRNA from 1 species